AGAGCUCCUAUCGACCCCGCGGUUUGGUACCUCGAUGUCGGCUUUUCCUAUCCUGGUCCUGCAGCAGGGGCCAAGGGUGAGGCUGCUCGCCUAUUAAAAGGGAACAUGAGCUGGGUUUAGACCGUCGUGAGACAGGUCGGUCUCUGCCUAAUGGAAGCGCGAAUAACUGAGGGGAAGUUGCUCACAGUACGAGAGGAACAGAGCAACGUCGCCACUGGUUUACCGGUUGUCUGAUAAGGCAGGCCGGGCAGCUAAGCGAUUUGGGCUAAGUGCUGAAAGCAUCUAAGCACGAAUCCCAUCCCGAGACAAGUUAUUCUUUCGUAAGAUGAAGGUCGGCAGCAAAAUACUGCGUUGAUAGGAAGGUGGUGUAGAUCACAAGCUUCGGCGAGUGGUGAGCCAGCCUUUACUAAUAGACCAACACAUCAGUUCA
rnacentral:rRNA from 1 species